UGCUGUCUUUUGACUUCUAUAAAAUGGAGGGUUGGCCGAGUGGUCUAAGGCGGCAGACUUAAGAUCUGCUGGACAGUUGUCCGC